rnacentral:rRNA from 1 species
AUUGAACGCUGGCGGCAUGCUUUACACAUGCAAGUCGAACGGCAGCGCGGGCUUCGGCCUGGCGGCGAGUGGCGAACGGGUGAGUAAUACAUCGGAACGUGCCCAGUAGUGGGGGAUAGCUCGGCGAAAGCCGGAUUAAUACCGCAUACGACCUGAGGGUGAAAGCGGGGGAUCUUCGGACCUCGCGCUCUUGGAGCGGCCGAUGGCCGAUUAGCUAGUUGGUGGGGUAAAGGCCUACCAAGGCGACGAUCUGUAGCUGGUCUGAGAGGAGGACCAGCCACACGGGGACUGAGACACGGCCCAGACUCCUACGGGAGGCAGCAGUGGGGAAUUUUGGACAAUGGGCGAAAGCCUGAUCCAGCAAUGCCGCGUGUGUGAUGAAGGCCUUCGGGUUGUAAAGCACUUUUGGCGGGAACGAAAAGGACUGUGCCAAUACCACGGUUCGAUGACGGUACCCGCAGAAUAAGCACCGGCUAACUACGUG